AUCAUGUUUCACAGAAGAGGAGGAAGACCAAGGAAAUGAUUUGCUCAGGAUGAGAAAUUAAGAUGGUCAUCUUGUGCUCAAGCAAACAGAAGUCCUCUGAUGAUCUCAUCAACCAAAUGAGGGGUUUUGACCAAGUGAUGCUCUUGAAAGGACUGAAAGAAGAGGAUGUGGUAAAUUGUCUUCAGAGAAAAAGCUUCUCAAAAGAUCUUAAAACAGCUUGAAGAAUGGUCUGGGAUCUUAGGACUGGGAGAUCUCACUGGCACCCAGUUAACCUCCAUUGAGAACAUUUAUCAGAAGCGCUGUCUGGGUAGGGCAAGAAACAUCAUCAAGGAUGCCUCUCACCCUAACCAUGGACCUUUCACCCUCCAUCCAUCCGGCAGGCGUUACAGGAGCCUACGCUCUCGCACUAGUAGACUCAGGAAGAGCUUCUUCCCCGAGGCUGUGACACUCCUGAACACCACACCACCAAUCUCACCUGCACCUGCUCUUUUACUGCACUGGUCACAGUACUUUACAUACAUGUAUUGCACUACUCAUAUUUUGCACAGACUGCACAUGGUUAAAUCCAUUACACUAUAAACUGUCUAAAGCUGUUACUGUACAAGCACAGUAAACUAUUUCUACAAUAAAUAUAAUUGCACUACUAUUAUUUUGCAUAUAAUAAAUUGUUAAACUAUACUUUUGCACACUCAUUCAACUGUAUUUAUUACCACUGUUCUCACGUUCCUGCUGUUCAUAAUGUAUAUAUAAUCCUUCUUUGCUCUGUUCAUAAUGUACAUACAAUCCCUACAUUACAUUCACAUUUAUAUUCUGUAUAUACUCUGAUCAAUAUUGUAUAUAGCAACUCCACUGUACAUUCUGUAUAUCAUAAGCUUUACUUACUCUGCACUUUUAUGUAUAUAAAACACUAUAUUCUUGCACUUCUGGUUAGAUGCUAACUGCAUUUCAUUAGCUCUGUACUUGUACUCUGCAUAAUGACAAUAAAGUUGAAUCUAAUCUAAUCUAAUCUUCUGGCUGAGAACAAGCUACACCACAUCAGUGCUGGACAUCAACCACAAACUGUUUCCAGACACGACAGAAGAUCACGAUGAAACCAGUUUAGAUGUGUUGAUAAGGAAUCAUUAUUUUCUGAAACAGUAUCACAUGUCUUAUAUGUAUCACAUGAUCUGUAUCACAGUUGACUGGAUGGGACUGUGACUUUUAAGGACAUUUCAUCACUCAUCUGUGUGAACUGAUUAAUAUAUGAGUUUAAUGUAUUUUUGAUUAUGAAUAAUUAUUUUCCUUUAAUCUUAUUUGUCUUGAUGCUACUUUAUCAUC